UCCCUGGUAGCUCAGCGGUAGAGCAACUGGCUGUUAACCAGCAGGUCGUUGGUUCGAAUCCGACCCAGGGAGC
rnacentral:tRNA from 1 species